AGCGGACCAAUGGAGACUCAUUGUCUAGGCCUCCCUCUAAACCACGCCAUUCAGGGAAAAAUAAUGCCAAAACUCGCAAUCGAAAAGACUGGCAGUGAAAGCAAAGAAACAGACAUCGAAAGCAAAUAUACGAGUAGCGUAACCAAAAGAUUACACAGCUUCUAUCAGUUGCACCUUACUGGCGGCAUAAUUUCAGUUUCUGAGGGACAACUACGACACCGUCCUCACAGCCAAGAACCAGAUCUGGAUCCAAAAUUAUGCUUUCACUUCAACUCAAGCUGAGCUACAGAAAAUGAACAGCUAUGUGGCGGUGGUUAAGGACCAACUGGAGAGAGACUACAUGAAACUUGUCACCUCCAAGUACCAGUCAGAGAGGCAACACAGAGACCUUGCUGCUUCUCAUAACCAAUUAGAAAGAGAGUAUGAAGGCCUACUGACAUCCAACAACAAAUUGCAAAAAAACUAUAGACCUGACAGCAUCUUAAAACAACUACAGAGAGAGAUAAAAGAUCUCACAUGAACCAGGGAAUGGUCACAGUGACAACACCUGAACAUCAGUGCAGCUUAACGCCUCGAUCACACCAACGCGUCAUUGCAUUUUGGUACACCAGAAGUACAUUCAUUUCCAAUGGAAUGCUGCGUUUGCCUUCCAGCAUUGUAGAGGCAGUUGUAGUGCGUUUUGUGUGGUACAUACGGUGGAUUUAUCCAAUACAUGCAUCAAACUGUAUGCCUAGACAGCUCGACAGAAAUGGUAGCAGAAGGUGAAUGUUGAACUUUUGUUGCAAACAUAUCCAGAUGAUGCUGCGUACCAUUUUGUACAGACACACUGUUGGUGUGAUCAAAGCGUUAUGACCAGUUGAGGUGAGUGCAUGUGAGGGUCGCAGAGACUAAAAACCAACUUCAGUUAGAUCUCAUAAGUUUCUCUGAAACUGAGGUGAUUUUGAACUGAGACUUUGUUGUGAGGGAUAGGGAUCCCCUUCAGAAGAUGCCUACAGAGCUGGUCAACUUCCUGCCUGUGGACGACACUGUCCACUCAGAGACCAGCUCACCCAAGGUCAGCAGUGUCUUGAUUUAUCUGUCCUUCUAUAUUUAUAUACUGUGUGUUUGUGCAAUGUGCAUGAAUAUGUUCUUGUGUAUGUGUGUUUCUGUAUGUUUGAGCAUGUGGGUGUGCAAUCCACUGAGAGGAGGAGCUGAAGCAGCAGUCGGGUCAACUGUGUUCAACAGGGUGGAGACCUGGUGGUCAUUAGUCCAGAGGAACAGGUAGAAAGAGUGCUGUGAGUGUGAGGGGAGAGAGUGUGUGCCUCCACCCUUCUCGGAGCUGGAGAGAAGAGACCUGCAGCAUCAUGUCUGGAAGGAUCUGUGAGCGCCCAGUGCUCAAACGUAGGUCUGACAACAGCAUCUUCAUCUCUUCGCUACCUACCCACUGUUGUCCUCCUCAUCAUGGCGGUAGAUCACUGCCAACAUGUCUUAAAAAAAAACGUCUGGCCAAGGUGCAUUGGGAAAGGAUAGCCAGCUAGCUUGUUAACAAUGGCAACCAUGCGUCCUCCAAGGUACUCUCUCCGAGACUCUCUGUACUGGGACGAGACUGAGUGCCUGACGUACUAUGGGAUGCUCUCUCUACACGAGAUGUUUGAAGUUGUCGGUUCUCAACUGACAGAGACAGACGUUGAGGUGCUGUCGUUCCUCUUGGAUGAGACCUAUCCGGCUGGAGGGCACCCCUUGGACCCAGCUGGCUGGACCAGCGAGCCCGUUGAGGAAGACCCUGAGGCCAGUAAAGGAGUCUCCCCCAGCCCAGUGCUCCUGGAGGCCUGGCGGCGGUUACAGCCCAAGGUUCCUGCUUUGGCCUGCCCUACCGCUGCCCGCCACAAGCCCAAGAGUGGGCUAGAACUGCUGCUGGAGCUGGAGAGACGUGGGUACCUGAGUGAGGGUAACCUGGAGCCCCUGUUGCAGCUGCUGCGAGUCCUGACGCGACACGACCUCCUGCCUUUGGUGUCCCGCAAGAAAAGGAGGACAGUAUCACCAGAACGUUUCAGAGUGAACUACGGGACAGAGGACAAAAGACAGGUGUGCACAUCUGGACUGACUGACCCCUGUGCACAGACAGAAUCACAUGACGAACACGCCACCCAGCAAUGGAGGGGGGGUGUUGACUCUGCCAGGCCAACGCCCGCCCCCCUACGGAAGAAGAGGGGUAAAGGCCGCCGCUGGACCAGCAAGCCCACCUCCCACAGGAGAAGAACGGGCAUCCCUGAAACUCCUCCCCCACCUAUACCUGAGAAAGUGACCUGCGACAUUCGUCUGCGUGUGCGAGCAGAAUACUGGGAGCAUGAGUCGGCUCUGCGCGGCGGCGUCUCCUCGGACAAGCAGCAGCCCCUGGAGCGGCAGUUUGAGCUGUUCAGUCGUGCCACCUCCGUGCUGCGCGCCCGCGACCUGGGCUCCAUCAUCUGCGACAUCAAGUUCUCUGAGCUGGACAACCUGGAGGCCUUCUGGGGGGACUAUCUGAGUGGAGCGCUGCUCGAGGCCCUGAAGGGGGUGUUCAUCACAGACUCUCUGCGGAGGGCGGCGGGGAGUGAGGGGGUCCGGCUGCUGAUCAGUGUGGACCAGGAUGACUACGAGGAGGGUCGCAGACUGCUGCUGGACGCACAGGAACAACAGGCCGGCUGCUGGGGACGAGACAGGCAUCAGAGCCGUAUACACUACCUGGUCUCACGUUGUCAUACUCCCUAGACCCAACCUGAGAAAGCUGGUUAUGGACGUUCGGCUCUGACAGACAGACAGACAGGCAGCUGUGCGAGGUCAUGAGCCCAAGGAAAGAGGAAUGAAAAGGAGAAUAAAUUAUGAAGAGGAACAUUUUUAUUUUUUCUCUCCUUUUUAAGUCUCUCAUGCUGAGAAUAGAGGAUACAGCCACUCCUAGGUCAGGGGAAUGAAUAGUCCCCAGGGAAAACAGCCAAACUUGAAGUGAAGGCAAACUGGACUAAAAGACUUGACACGCUGUUCUGUUUGGAAUUGAUAACACAAGUUGUACUGAGCCUAGAUGCCCUCACGGCACUGAGGAAGAGACUGCCUCUGAGAGACACACACACACACACACACACACACACACACACACACACACACACACACACACACACACACACACACACACAGAGAGAGAGAAACUAAACUUCCGCUGUAACACACACAAACUACCACUGUAUCUAACAUACACGCUCUGUAAAAUCAUCCACAUGAUGAACCAUCAGCGCUGCCUUGCCUAUAAGACUCAUUGAAGCCAAGAGACAUUUCUUGCUAACAGUGACAGCCCAGAUACCAACUAGACUGUGCGCUAAUGCUGAGCAUCUCUGGUUAUGUUUGAAGAGCGUGUUAGAUGCCCUGCAAGGCGAACUUCACCCGCCUAAAUAUUAGUUUGCGUUUCCAUUGAAAUGUAUGAUUUUGAAAAGAUGAGCGAGACUGCAGCUCUCAGACACCGAGGGAGAGAGGAUGGGGAAAUUACUAAAGCAUGAGAUUAUGUUUUUACCUUUUGGGAGAGAAUUUGAAAUAAAUGGUGAAGUGAAGACUACCUGAGGACAGUGUAGUGGACAAAUCGCUGGUCCUUUGAGAACUCGUCCACACACACACAAACACACACACCAUGAUCACAAGCCACUGGUAGUCCAAUCACUGUGCCAUGCUAACCCAGGGCCUGAUAGCUGUGGUCAGUGGCCAUCUCAUCUCAGAUGAUUGGAGUGAUUACCUCUCAUCCUCAGCCAACCAUGGAGAACUCAUCACAUCACCACAAGUUGUUGAACAGCAGCUGGGAAACACACGACUAGGCUGUGCUCACCCCGGCUUCCAGCAAGGCAAGGCCACUGCCUUUCCCAUUGGAACUGAAGCACAGGACAGUGCUUCAGUCAAUAAAACUGAUGUAGAGGAGAUCAAAAUCAGAAGGAUACAUCCUAGUUCCACUCAGCCCUGACUUGUAGGCCCCACUAGUGGCUCACAGAGCGCUGUCUGUCUCUAGUCUAGUCACCCUGGUGGAACUAAUGCCUGAACUCCUCUGAGUGGGAUCAAUAACCCCCUCUGUCUCUCCACCACCACCAAGGGAGGAGAAAGAGUAAGGGGGAGAGGUAGGAGAAGGGGAAAGAGAGGGAGAAGGAUCCCCACCUCCAUCCCGCCUUUCAGCUCCUGGACAGCCGCCUCAUCCUCUGGAGGAUAAGUCCCCUGAUACAACCAGGCUGCCUGGUCUGCUACAGCACUGUGUCUGGUUCACACAGCCCUAUGGGACCAGGGAUGGAGGACUAGGGAGGCACUCAGGAAAACCUUAGUAGUGUUUUGCUUUUUCCGUGUUUUGGUAUAUGGAUUCGUUAGUGUAGCUUUGUAUGGUUCAUAAGAGAAAAUAACAAAAAUACUGUGUGUUCUAGUUCAUUAACUUAGGGUGAACUUUUGUUUAAGUAUCUGGAUAUUUUUAUUUGGGCACUGCAAAAGUGCUGUAUAUUAGUUUAAUAUAUUAGUGGAAAGUUGGAAUUAUUUCAAAUAAAAAUAAAUGAUUUAUCAAAGGUU